rnacentral:rRNA from 1 species
UACGGAGGGGGCUAGCGUUGUUCGGAUUUACUGGGCGUAAAGGGCGCGUAGGCGGUCGUGACAAGUCACUUGUGAAAUCUCCGGGCUUAACUCGGAACGGUCAAGUGAUACUGUCGGACUAGAGUACAGAAGGGGCAACUGGAAUUCUCGGUGUAGCGGUGAAAUGCGUAGAUAUCGAGAGGAACACCGGUGGCGAAGGCGGCAUCCUGGACCAACACUGACGCUGAGUGAGCGAAAGCCCAGGGGGAGCAAAACGGG